UACGGAGGGUGCAAGCGUUAUCCGGAUUCACUGGGUUUAAAGGGUGCGUAGGUGGGCUGGUAAGUCAGUGGUGAAAUCUCCAGGCUUAACUUGGAAACUGCCAUUGAUACUAUUAGUCUUGAAUACCGUGGAGGUCAGCGGAAUAUGUCAUGUAGCGGUGAAAUGCUUAGAUAUGACAUAGAACACCAAUUGCGAAGGCAGCUGGCUACACGAAUAUUGACACUGAUGCACGAAAGCGUUGGGGAUCAAACAGG
rnacentral:rRNA from 1 species